rnacentral:rRNA from 1 species
GACGUAGGGUGCGAGCGUUGUCCGGAUUUAUUGGGCGUAAAGAGCUCGUAGGCGGCUCGUCGCGUCGACCGUGAAAACCCGCAGCUUAACUGCGGGCUUGCGGUUGAUACGGGCGGGCUAGAGUUCGGUAGGGGAGACUGGAAUUCCUGGUGUAGCGGUGAAAUGCGCAGAUAUCAGGAGGAACACCGGUGGCGAAGGCGGGUCUCUGGGCCGAUAUUGACGCUGAGGAGCGAAAGCGUGGGGAGCAAACGGG